AAACUUCAUUUCUGCUGGAGCUGCUGCUGGUAUUGCUUCAGCAUUUGGAGCGCCAAUUGGAGGCCUUCUUUUCUCAAUGGAAGAAGUUUCUUCAUUUUGGACGAAAUCUCUGUCUUGGCAAAUAUUCUUUUGUUGUAUGGUAGCCACAUUUGUGACUGACCUUUUGAACUCAGCUUUUCAUGGGUAUCAACAUGUCGGCACCUUUGGACAUUUUGAGAAAGAACACUAUGUAUUAUUUCAUAUUGCUACAGGGAUAAAUAUCAACUUGCUGCUGUUUAUACCAACUAUAAUUAUUGGGAUAAUUGGUGGGAUUUUAGGCGCGUUCUUUACAUUUUUCAAACUGAAGAUGGCGAGAAUGCGGAAAAGGAUAUUUUUCAAAUUGCCGAAACCAAUAAUGGCUAAAAUUAUUCACUGCAUCGAACCUAUAAUUUGCAUGGUGAUAAUAUCGACAGUGUAUAUGUAUGUACCUGACAGCUUCGGUUGCACACAUUUCACCUGUUUAACAAAAGACGGAAAUACAACUUAUGGAUGUUAUAAUGACACCAGGGCAGAUCCUGAAGCAGAACCAAAUGUGAUACGUUAUAAAUGUAACAAAGGCUCCAUGAACAAAAUUGGAACUAUUUGGUACACUAAUGGAACAUAUAAUGAAGUUGCCACCUUAUUACAUCUAGCUGGAGAAGACGCAGUGAAAAAUUUAUUUUCAAGAAAUACACAUCUUAAUUUCGGAUUUGCUUCUUUAACAUGCGUACUGUUCCUGCAUUUCUUUUUUGUUAGUUGGGCGUCAGGAACAGCUGUUGCAUGUGGCAUCCUCGUCCCAGCUGUCUUUAUCGGAGGCCUGUAUGGUAGAUUGGUCGGAAUUACCUUAGUGAAUAUAUUGAAGUCGUUUGGUAGUAAAGACCCCCAUUACUGGAAUUGGACGGAUCCUGGAGUCUUUGCCUUAAUUGGUGCAGCAUCUUUCUUUGGUGGUGUUACUCGAUUAACAAUGGCGGUUACUAUCAUCAUGAUAGAAAUUACCAACGAUGUUCAGUUCAUUAUACCAAUAAUGCUUUCAAUUUUGAUCGCCAAAUGGAUCGGUGAUUACUUUACGCACCCCAUUUACCAUGCCACCCUCGAAUUAAAGUGUAUCCCAUUCUUACGUGCAGAACCACAUCUCGUGAUAGCUUCUAAAAGGUUGAAUGCGGAACUAUAUACUGCUUUGGAUGUCAUGGCAAGUCCUGUUGUAACAGUAUAUCCGAAACAGUCAGUGUACAAAGCAGCUAAAAUAUUACUUAAUACAACGCAUAGCGGAUUUCCCGUUGCUAAAAAGAAGACGAUGCUUUCGAAAUCAAAACACUUUUACGGCUUAAUCACAAGAACAGAAUUAUAUGUCUUGCUGAUGAAAGAGGAAGUAUUUUUCACAAAAGAAGACAUUGAUAAUGAAUCUGAAACAGAAGGCAAAAGUCUUAAACAUGUAACUUAUAAUGAACCUCUCAUUACUAAUUCCUGCAACUAUCUUUGGGAAUGUACCAUGCAAAGCCUUCUCUUGCCAGUCAGAUAACACUUGUUCUUUUUCCUGGUUUUUAACUUCGUUUGGCGUUUUGGUUUCCCUAUGUCCUGCAGUGACGCAAGCUGUUCCUAAUAAACUUCCUUCACCAUUACCUACACAGCAGUCUAUAUCUCCUCUAACUCCACGCAGUCUUCUACUGAUAUUAACCCUCUUCUACCUUCCUGUCUAGAUUAGUAACGAAAAAUUGUGUAAAGCCUUUGAAGUAGAAAGAAGGUUGCAGAAGUAUGUGGAUGAUCCAAAAUACAAAGAUUUAU
rnacentral:misc_RNA from 1 species